rnacentral:rRNA from 1 species
ACACGUAGGGGGCGAGCGUUGUCCGGAAUUACUGGGCGUAAAGGGCGUGUAGGCGGCUUAUCAAGUCAGAUGUGAAAAAUCAGGGCUCAACUCUGAUCUUGCAUCUGAAACUGGUAAGCUUGAGUGCAGGAGAGGAAAGUGGAAUUCCCAGUGUAGCGGUGAAAUGCGUAGAUAUUGGGAGGAACACCAGUGGCGAAGGCGACUUUCUGGACUGUAACUGACGCUGAGGCGCGAAAGCUAGGGGAGCAAACAGGAUUAGAUACCCUGGUAGUCCUAGCCGUAAACGAUGGGUACUAGGUGUAGGGGGUUUAGAUACCUUCUGUGCCGUAGUUAACACAUUAAGUACCCCGCCUGGGGAGUACGGCCGCAAGGCUGAA